rnacentral:sRNA from 1 species
GCAAACUCAGCAAAACUCCCCCCCGGGACAU